GGGCAGGCCCGGCGCGGCAGGACUCUCCGAACUUCGUCAGGUCCGAAAGGAAGCAGCGAUAAGGAGACGUUCCUGGGUGCCGCCGGUCUCCUGCCCGGA
rfam:Anaerolineae bacterium CG2_30_57_67 cg2_3.0_scaffold_829_c, whole genome shotgun sequence.